UAAAACAAAAUUAGGGAGUCAAACGUGGA
rnacentral:piRNA from 1 species